GAUAAAAAUGCAGGUGACGAAAUGAAACGGGUCAAUACGCCCUGCAGGAAUGGCAGCUAAAGGAACGUAUCAGCAAAUACACACUUCAUUGGUAUGCCCAUAGUUAAAACGAGAUCGGCAAUGAACUUUGGAAGGAUGGCGCCUACGUGACGUUGACAACUGGAUAUUACUACGACGCGUAAAACAUUCCGAAUUGUUUUGGGGAAUUACGACGUUAACGAACACACCUGCUGUGUAUUGGAUAUCUACAUAUUUGAAAAGUGAUCGUGACCCUUCAUCUGGUCUUUUCUCUAAGUGAAAAACUUGCCAUGAACGGGUUUUUUUGUUUACAACAAGGUCGUCUUAAAAGAUAUACGUAGUCUUCUGAGGUGAAAACUUGAAUGGCAAGGUGGACACAAGAAAUCAGAUGUCUUUAUUUGCAUCGGCACGAAAACAGGAAAAUCCAGUUGGAUUCCGUUUACCAACUAAAGAUGGAUAUCAAUCAUCAAACAACAAAUUUAUUGCGGCCAGCAAAUGGGGACUACGUAUGGUAUGGCUGGACGGUCAAAGGAAAUGAGCCGUGUCAUGGUGAAGCGGCUUUGUUUUCCAUUUGGAUCUCACGCUGGGCCAAUAGCUACUGAAUUACACUUCUUAUUUUUCCUUCUCCCCAAUCUUUCUUUCUUCUCUCGAUUUUCGGCCGCUUGCCCGUCUCCCCUCCCGUCUCCGAGACAGAGUUGAUAGACAGUGAUAGAGAUUUCAUGAAAUAUUUGUCACAAUGGAGAUCGAACUUCUGCUUUCCUUUUUUUCCAACACACUUCAAUUUCUUAAGAAAAUUCACAUGUCUAACGCUCUAUUUCCUUCGACGAGAUUUUAUCAACACGCUUAUUGAGAAGUAUCAUUUCUUUCAAAUAAAAAAACAAACAAA
rnacentral:lncRNA from 1 species